GCGAGUGGCGGACGGGUGAGUAACACGUGAGUAACCUGCCUUUUGCUGGGGAAUAACUGUGGGAAACCAUGGCUAAUACCGCAUAUUGUGUCUACAAGGCAUCUUGUGGAUAUGAAAGGAGCAAUCCGGCAGAAGAUGGGCUCGCGUCCGAUUAGGUAGUUGGUGGGGUAAUGGCCUACCAAGCCUGCGAUCGGUAGCCGGACUGAAAGGUCGAACGGCCACAUUGGGACUGAAACACGGCCCAAACUCCUACGGGAGGCAGCAGUGGGGAAUUUUGGGCAAUGGGGGAAACCCUGACCCAGCGACGCCGCGUGAAGGACGAAGGCCUUCGGGUUGUAAACUUCUUUAGGGAGGGACGAAAAUGACGGUACCUCCAGAAUAAGCCACGGCUAACUACGUGCCAGCAGCCGCGGUAAUACGUAGGGUGGCAAGCGUUAUCCGGAUUUACUGGGUGUAAAGGGCGCGCAGGCGGCCCCUGCAAGUCAGAUGUGAAAACUCAAGGCUUAACCUUGGAAUGUCAUCUGAAA
rnacentral:rRNA from 1 species